rnacentral:rRNA from 1 species
GACGAACCGUGCGAACGUUGUUCGGAAUCACUGGGCUUAAAGGGCGCGUAGGCGGGCCUGCCAGUCAGGGGUGAAAGCCCACGGCUCAACCGUGGAAGUGCCUUUGAUACUGCAGGCCUCGAGGGAGGUAGGGGCGUGCGGAACUUCCGGUGGAGCGGUGAAAUGCGUAGAUAUCAAGAGGAACACCUGAGGUGAAGACGGGUUGCUGGGCUGACACUGACGCUGAGGCGCGAAAGCCAGGGGAGCAAACGGG